GAUACCGUCACUUCUGGAGAAUAUUAUCCCCCAAAUCGUUCUUCUCACUUCAAAGAGGUUUACAAUCCGAAAACCUUCAUCCCUCACGCGGCGUUGCUCCAUCAGGCUUGCGCCCAUUGUGGAAAAUUCCCUA
rnacentral:rRNA from 1 species